GACGAACGCUGGCGGCGUGCUUAACACAUGCAAGUCGAACGGAAAGGCCCUGCUUUUGUGGGGUGCUCGAGUGGCGAACGGGUGAGUACCACGUGAGUAACCUGCCCUUGACUUUGGGAUAACUUCAGGAAACUGGGGCUAAUACCGGAUAGGCGCUCCUGCUGCAUGGUGGGGGUUGGAAAGUUUCGGCGGUUGGGGAUGGACUCUCGGCUUAUCAGCUUGUUGGUGGGGUAGUGGCUUAACAAGGCUUGGACGGGUAGCCGGCCUGAGAGGGUGACCGGCCACAUUGGGACUGGAAUACGGCCCAGACUACUACGGGAGGCAGCAGUGGGGAAUAUGGCACAAUGGGCGGAAGCCGGAUGCAGCAACGCCGCGUGCGGGAUGACGGCCUUCGGGGUGGAAACCGCUUUCGCCUGUGACGAAGCGUGAGUGACGGUAAUGGGUAAAGAAGCACCGGCUAACUACGUG
rnacentral:rRNA from 1 species